UGGAUAAGAGAGGAUACUAGCAACUUAUACAAAAAACAUGAGGAAAAAUUGCUGCAGAGUUUAAAAACCAACACAGCUUUAAUAGUUCAUUGUCAAAUUCAGUUGUGAGCCUUCAUAACCGUAUUCUAACUCUAAAAAGCCUUUGAAGAUUCCAAUUAAGGUGGUCGCUCCGUGCAUGAGAAGAAUUGGGGCGGCAGGCAGGAGAUUGCCAACCCCCUUCGAUCAGAAACUUAUCCUGUGGAUAGCGGAUAAAAAGGUC